rnacentral:rRNA from 1 species
UACAGAGGUCUCAAGCGUUGUUCGGAUUCAUUGGGCGUAAAGAGCGUGUAGGCGGCUUUACAGGUCCGUUGUGAAAACUCGAGGCUCAACCUCGAGACGCCGGUGGAAACCGUAAGGCUAGAGUCCGGAAGAGGCGAGUGGAAUUCCUGGUGUAGCGGUGAAAUGCGCAGAUAUCAGGAGGAACACCAAUGGCGAAGGCAGCUCGCUGGGACGGUACUGACGCUGAGACGCGAAAGCGUGGGGAGCAAACAGG